rnacentral:lncRNA from 1 species
GAAGUCCCCUUGCUUGAGCAAGGAUCUCAGAGGUGGCAUUCGUGUCCAUCAAGCAGUCUGUAUUUCUCAUUCCUUUGUGCUUCCCUCACUCAUUCAGCAAACAUCAGUGUAUUUCCAUGGAUCAAGCACCUUCUCAAGCUUUGGGAACUCAACCAUGAGCACAAUUUCCUGCCUUUAAAGACCCAACAUUCCUGGAAGAAAAGAUACACAGUGAGCAAACACAAUGCUCAGGGGACACAGGAGGCAGAGGAUAAGCAAGUGAGCAGCCCUGGUGUACGCACGCAGCAGGGGAGGCUGAAGCAGGAGGGCCGCAGGCUACAACGAGGUGCAGAGAAAUGAGCUACCACCACGGCCUGGAGAGACAGGAAGAGCCGUGCAGGGAGGGCCUCAAGCUGAGGAGAGCUUUCGAGGGGGCAAGGAGCUGGGCAGGACGGCUACCCAGACUAAGGUGGGUUUGCCAAGGAAAGGGGUGUGCAUGGCAGGAGUGAGGGGCGCUGACAGAGGGCGGGUGGGGUGUUAAGCAGCACAGGUG